rnacentral:tRNA from 1 species
GGGCGUUUAGCUCAGUGGGAGAGCGCUGCCUUCACACGGCAGAGGUCGUGGGUUCAAAUCCCCCAACGCCCACCA